rnacentral:rRNA from 1 species
UACGUAGGUGGCAAGCGUUGUCCGGAAUCACUGGGCGUAAAGCGCGCGCAGGCGGCGAUCUACGUCUGGGGUGAAAGCCCGGAGCUCAACUCCGGGACUGCCUUGGAUACGGGAUCGCUUGAGGAUUGGAGAGGCAAGGGGAAUUCCACGUGUAGCGGUGAAAUGCGUAGAUAUGUGGAGGAACACCUGUGGCGAAGGCGGCUCACUGGCCCGGUACUGACGCUGAGGUGCGAAAGCGUGGGGAGCAAACAGG